GAGGCGGAAGCCCGGCUCCGGGCCAAGAUCCGAGAGCCGGGACUGGAGUUUUUGGGAAAUAAAGCCGUUGAAAAAGUGUGUAAGUCUUCAGGCUUUAAUUCAUGGUUGGAGGAAGUGCUUGUUGAGACAUAAUAAAAGUGCCUGCCUUCUGCAGCAAGUUUCUGGUUAUAUAUCUGAAAGUGAAAUAUGUGUCUGUGCAUUGGAAGAUCUAUUAAAACAGCAAUAACGAAGACUCUUUCUUCAUAUACACAGCUUACACAUUUUAUUCUCCUUAAUCAUCAGUUCGUAAUAAAUAAAGUAAUUUGGCAUAUUGAUUAUUUUGGUUCCACAUUUUCUGGUUAUCAAUUUUAUUUUUAUAUAGUCCAUUCUCUGGUAUCUGUAUACUCUAGUUAGAAAACCAUUCCCUGUCAUUGAUACAAUCUGGCGAAUUUGUUACAGCUGAGGGGUACAGCUUCUGCACAGGGAGGUACCAAAUAGAGUACUGUACGGAUCUUCUGCUGACCUACCACCCAGCUGCUACGCUGCCCGUGAAGCAGAGCAAGGCCCUCAGCAAGGUUGACUGAAGCAGUCAUCCCUGCUCUUAGCAUCACCUUUUUGUCCCUUUUCCUCUGCUGUGUUUAGGCAUUUUCUUUCAUAGUGACCAAGAGGACCUGGACCUCAAAGUGACUCAUCAGGGCAUCAGAGCAGCCAGAUAGGACUGCAGUCCUGUUAGUAGGGCCCUGUCCAUUCAGCUGAGUCUAAUCCCAUAAAUCUUAGCCCAUUUCCCAGCUUCUAGGCUUGCAGUUAUGGCUGUGAAAUACUUGUUCAGAUCAUUGUUGAUUUUUACAAUGGUUUUAAUACUAAACCAUCAUGGAUCAGAUGUAGAAAUGGGCUCUGCUGUAUAUACAGGGACUUCCCUUAGUUUUCCUGACAGGGAGGUAUCACAUUAAAUGAUAUGUGAACUUUUCUGUUACAGCGGAAUGAUAUGCCUCAUAAUUGCAAAUAGUGUAGAAAAUACACGGAUUACUCUUAGCCUUCGUGGUUAGUUUUAUUUGGUUUGAGAACCUAAGAAAAGGAAGAACGGUUGCAUAAAAAAUUUGGGUGGGGAUGGGGGAGGUUGACCAUUACCAGUGGAGUAGUGAGGGGUGAUCAUGGGAGCUGUCUGCUACGGUCAGAGGAAUGUCUUAGCAUUGAGGUUGUUUAGAAUUUCUAGAACAUAAUGAUAAUAAAAAGCAGACAGACUUUUAGUUGGUUUUAUUACUGUUUUUAAUUCUCUACAGGCAGUGCAUCCCCUUACUGCAUGCACCUGGGGCAAACCCUUCCCACCUCUCACAAGAAUGACCUGGCAGAGAGACUCUUGAAGUCAGAGAUUACAUGGUAAUAAGGAAUCAAGAAGAGGUUUGAGGGAGGGUUGAGAUGUGAAUAGAAGAACAAGUAUUGAAGUUUGUUUUAGUAUUGGUAUAGGUCAGAAUUGGAAUCGACUCGACAGCAACUAACAGCAACAACAUUUUCAAAAUUGAGAAGGUGAAGGCAUGGAGACUUGACGAGAACACUGUAGAUAGGAGAAGAACAAACACUAGAUACGAGUGAAUUCGAAUUGGGGGGCGGGGGGAAAGGCAGUUCUGAGGAGGUGAUGCAUAAUCAAGUUCUAGACUUUUCCACAAGAACUUUGUGACUGUAUAGAUAAUAGUAUCAGGGUUAACUCCCAAUAUUUUAAACCUAAGUAAUGGCUAUUUUGUAGUACGUAGUUGAAUGAAGUUGCAAAGAUAAAGAUAGUACAAGGAACACUUGGAUGCCCUUUAUCCAGAUCCAGUUUUUAAGAUUUUACCACAUUUGCUUUAUCACUUGAGAACAAGAAUACUUUUGGUUAAAGCAGAACACGUAUAUAAAGCAUACUCAGCUGAUCUGUCAGCUUUGUUUCUCUAAUAAAGUUAUGUAUUGGCUCUAAUUCACUGAAUCCUAGAGCUAGAAAGGACCUUGGAAGAUGAUCUGUUUAACCCCCUUGAAGAUGGUAAAUGUUGACCAGUCCAGAACAGGUGGGUUUUGAUUCUUAAACCUCCAUAGCCUCUUCCAGGGUCUUAUCCUAACAAGCAAGAAUAAAAACUCCUAAUGUCUGUUUGUUGCUUUUUAGUUUGUAUGUUUUCAUUUGAUCCUCAAAACAAGCAUGUAAAGGUUCUUCCUUAGCAUUCCCCCCACCCCUGCCUCUGAAAUCUUGCGUAUGUAGUCUUAUAUUCAUCUUGUAUCUUUUAAGUCCACUUCUUCUUAGUCUUUAUUCUCUGUUUAUAGAAAACAACCGAACAACAUCCCUUUCAGGAACACUUAACCUGUUCUGUAAUAAAUACCUUGUUAACUUUCCUCAGGUAAGACUAUCUUAAUUCCUUUAAGGUUUCUACCUGUAAUAUACUUUCUGUCUAGUCAGUUCACAAGGUGGUGCAAAUGGUUUGUGCUUGACUGCUAACCAAAAGGUUGGUGGUUCAAACCUACCCAGCAGCUCCAUGGAAGAAAGGCCUGGUGAUCUGCUUCCAUAAAGAUUACAGCCAAGAAUACCCUGUGGGGGUCAUUUCUAGUCUGAAACACACGGGCUUGCCAUGAGUUGGAAUCAGCUUGACAGUAAUGGGUUUGAUUUUUUUUUCCCUCCUUGGUUGAUCUUUCAAGAUUCUAGGUUUUUCACACCCUUUUCAAAGUGUGGCGAGCAAAGCUUGAAAGAGUGUGACUAAUGUAGAGUAACAACAUAGAAAAUUUAUGUGUAAAUUAUUUACAAAGUAUUUAUCUUGUGGUCAUUUGAUUCUUAGGGCAGAACAGGUGGUGUCUCCAUUUCAGAGAUGGGAAAAACUCCAGAAAGGUUAAGUGGUUUGCCCAGGGUCCUAUAGAGCUAGGCUGUGUCAGAACUGGGAUGCAACCUAGGUCUUCUAACAGUAAAUCAGUUCCCUUUUCCACUGUUCUCAUGUGUAGAUCUUUACAUAUCAUGUAUAUUUUAAUGUACUUUAGAAUCACUUUGACUUUUUCAGUCUCUGUCCUUUUUACCAACCAAACUUGCUAUUAGGGAAAUAAAAUGUUUGCUGACCCAACUUUUCUUUCUCUUCUGCACUUAAAAUAAUAGCAUUAUAGAAUUGGAAUGAACCUGUAGUGGCCACUUAAGCCAAUCUUCUACCGAAUUUGAGUACCUCACACACUAUCUCGUCCCACCGUCGUAUGGCCCUUGCAGGAAUACUUGCAGUAACAGGGCGUUCACUUCCUUUUUAUGCAACCUGGUUCUAGUUGUAUCAUCCAGAGCAACACAGAAUAUCUAUUCUCUCUUUGCUACGUAAAAUUUUGUCACAUAUUUAAAGAUAACUGUCUCUUCUCCAGGUUAAAGAAUGCUAAUACCCUGAUCUCGCACCAUCCUCAUCACCUUAUUUUGGAUGAAUUAAAUUGUGAGUAAGGAGCCCAACAGUUAAGUGCUGGGCUGCUAAUCAAAAGGUUGGCGGUUCAGACUCACAGAAGAAAGACCUGGCGCUCUGUUCCUAUAAAGAUUACAGCCUAGAAAACCCCAUGGGGCAGUUUUACUCUGUCACAUGGAGUCCCUAUGAGUCAGAAUUGACUUGACAGCACCUGGCAGCAGCAUGUUGUCAGUAUCCUGAGAAUCCGACUUCCAUAAUAGCCUGUAUGUUUUAGAUGUCUGGCCAAGGCAACAAAUAGUGGAGCUAUUACUUCCUGCAGGGUGGAUACCAUACUAUUCUAUUGUUGAAGUCCAAAAUUGUACUAGCAUGUAAGCAGAUACAUCAUGUUCUUAUAUGAAAGUUUUGGUAAGCCAAAGGUCUCAGAAUUCUGUAGGAACCAGACUAAUUUUCAUAGUCUGGCCCCCUCUACUUGUAUAACUGAUUUUUUAACUGAAAUGUGGAACUUCACAUUUACUCCUGUUAAAUUUUAAUUUGCCUGUGUUUUAGCAGCCCAGAAUUUCAGUUUGUGAAGAUCUAUUUUGGUCUUAAUUUUCUGACCCAUUUAUUAGCAGUCCUUUUCAGCUUUGUCUUCUACACAUCUAAUACUUAGACAAGCUUGUGUUGAAGCAGAGCUGGCUUUGGAUCGAUGAUAGCUAGGUAGCUAAUACUCCUUUUAGGGCUUAGAAGCAGAUCAUCUCUGGAUAAUUUUGUGUAAUAUUUUCUGCAGAGAAGUGUGACAAAGUGAUAGUUCUUUGGACCUGGCUAUGUCUUAUUCUCUGGGAGACACAAGAAUCUUUAGAGGUUAUUCUAAGACAUGUAUUGGUUUUUUUUGUUCCCCUAGCACUAAUUUUUACAUGCGUGUCUCUAAAGAAUGGAGAAGACAAAUCAUUGGAAUUACAGAUUCCAACAUACUUGCCUCUCCUGGCUCUCAAAAUGAAAUGUCACCACUUAAACCUAGAAUAGUUGAAAACUUGGUUUAAAAAUUUCCUGAGAUCUAAUAUUGCUUACAUUUAUAAUUUUGCUUUGGAGUUUAGUCUUUGAACAUAUAUGAUUUUUUGUUCUAUUUAUUUCGUUGUUGAAAAU